GGGUUGCUAACUCAAUGGUAGAGUACUCGGCUUUUAACCGACUAGUU
rnacentral:tRNA from 22 species